AAUCUUCCACAAUGGACGAAAGUCUGAUGGAGCAACGCCGCGUGAGCGAAGAAGGUUUNCGGAUCNUNAAGCUCUGUUGCGAGGGNCGAACAAGUACGGGAGUAACUGCCUGUACCUUGACGGUACCUCGUCAGCAAGCCACGGCUAACUACGUGCUCGUAGACGCGGUAAUACGUAGGUGGCAAUCGUUGUCCGGAAUUAUUGGGCGUAAAGCGCGAGCAGGCGGUCCUUUAAGUCUGAUGUGAAAGCCCACGGCUCAACCGUGGAGGGUCAUUGGAAACUGGAGGACUUGAGUACAGAAGAGGAAAGCGGAAUUCCACGUGUAGCGGUGAAAUGCGUAGAGAUGUGGAGGAACACCAGUGGCGAAGGCGGCUUUCUGGUCUGUAACUGACGCUGAGGCGCGAAAGCGUGGGGAGCAAACA
rnacentral:rRNA from 1 species